rnacentral:rRNA from 1 species
UACGUAGGGGGCAAGCGUUGUCCGGAUUUAUUGGGCGUAAAGAGCUCGUAGGCGGCUUGUCGCGUCGACUGUGAAAUCCCGAGGCUCAACUUCGGGCUUGCAGUCGAUACGGGCAGGCUAGAGUUCGGUAGGGGGAGACUGGAAUUCCUGGUGUAGCGGUGAAAUGCGCAGAUAUCAGGAGGAACACCGAUGGCGAAGGCAGGUCUCUGGGCCGAUACUGACGCUGAGGAGCGAAAGCGUGGGGAGCGAACAGG